UUCCUUAUCUUGCCCGAAAUAUACCCUAUGAUCACAUCUUCAUUGUCUAAGCGUACCCGAAACAUACCGUUGGGCAGCGAUUCAGUCACGGAGCCUUCAUGGGUCCAUUUCUGCUCCCCAGUUGGAUUGGCUUUUGCUUGGGUCGAAACAUCUACUCUUGAAGCUGAAAUUGUGAGGUUGAGCGGGUUCGUUCUGAUGAAUCUCUGGCCAAGGAAGACUGUUCUCGGAGAGAGAUUGGUGGGUUUUGUAGAGGACGGAGAAGAUAACCCAGGCGCGGCGAGGAUGUGGACUUGGGCGGUAGUGGAGGUCAUCUCCUUCAGGGGAGGUGAAAGCAAAAUCGGAAGUUAAAAUUGGAGGGAAAAGAGGGUUUGGGAAGGGAGAGAAGCCCUGGGCUUGGAAGAGGAGAGAUG
rnacentral:misc_RNA from 1 species